rnacentral:misc_RNA from 1 species
AACUAUUAAAUAUUUUUGUGUUACGAAUGGAAAAAACCGAAGAAAAAGUAUCUGUUCCUGAAUCAUUAAAGUCUUCUUCAGAAAUAUUGACAGAGCUCUUUAGCACAUUUGAUGCUGAACCCCCUCUGAUAAUUAAAAAGGAAGAAUAUGCAAAAAAGCCGAAGAAAAACAAAAAGAAACAUAAACAUAAGGAUAAGAAACAUAAAAGAAAGUCUAGAAAAAGAAAGAGAAGUCAUAGUGAUAGCAGUUGUAGUAUUGAGAAAGAUAUACAGUUAAAUAUAACAAAAGUUGUGUUGAAGCAAGAAAGGGAGACUCCAGAAAAGAAAAUAAAACUUGAAUUAAGCAGUGAUGGGGACAACAACAAUCUUAAUCUUAUAAAACAAGAAAAUAAUGAAGGUGCCAGUGGGAAUUGUACAAUGGAUAACAAGGAGUUAAUUAAUGUUAUCAAAACUGAAAGCAAAGAUCAGGAUGAAGAGGGCAAAACAGAAAAUUCUGUCACCAUAGAGGAAUCUGAAAUAUCCCAACCUGAUAGCAAGAUAAAAAUACAAAAUUUAAAGUUUAGUUCAAUAUUUAAACAAACAAUACUAGAAAUACAAGAAAAACAGAAAACAGAUCCUUUGCAUUCUGAUGUUAAUUUGGAAUUAACUGAUAUUUCAGACUUAAGUGAAGAAGAAAUCAGAAGAUCUAAAAAACAUAAGCAUAAAACGAAGCACAGUCACAAAUCCACCUCAGGGCACAAAAAAGAUAGGCAUAAAAGUGAAAAUAAGGAGAAACAUAGGCACAGAUCUGAUUCAGAGAGUCGGAACAGUCAUCAUAGUCAAGAGAGGUCUUGUGAUAGAAAAGAAGAAAAGGGCAGAACAGAAAAAGAUAGAAAACACUGUGAAAAAGAUGACUUUUGUGACAAACAGGAGAGAAAAAUUUACAAGGAAAACUAUAAGGAAGACUGUAAGGACAAAUACAGUGAGAAAGACAGUGGCAGAGGGAAGUAUAGCAGUAAUGAUCUUAAAUAUAAAAAAGAUGAUAGAAAAAGUUAUAAAGAGGACGACAGUUGGAGAAGGAGUUACAGAGAAGAUUAUUCAAGGAAAGAAGACAAAGAAGAUGACAAAAAGUUUUAUAAAGAUAGGUAUAGGGGGCAUGAUGAUCUUGACAAAAAUAGGGAUUACAAGCAAAAGGUCCAUUCAAAGUCUCAAGAACGUGAUUACAUCGAUAAAAAGAAACUUUUGGAAAUUGCUCGUAAAAAUGCGAUACAAAUGAUGCGUUCUGGGAGCCUUCCCGCUGCCCUAACAUUGGGUCCACAGGCUCAGGAGAAAGUUUUGGCUGCUAUUCGUGCCGGGGGCAAGACCGUCGAAGAACUUACAGAAUUUUGCAAGACACUUUCAAAAAAGGAAGAACUGGGUGAACUGUCUAGUGUCUCUGAAGAUGAUAAUGACAGUGAUACAGAUAGACCUUUUCAUCAUCCUUUUCAAAUAAAAGACAGGCCAACAUCAAUUAUCAUGAAUAUAAAGAAUUCAGUUCCUUUGCCUACAAAAACUUCCCAAGAACGUUCAACAGAAUUGCGUAUGCAAUUUCCAGUCAGUAGUGGACAGCAACACAGAAAAACAGAAAACGAAUGGGUUCCUGUUUCUCCUAAGAAAACUGAAGCGCCAAUCCCUACUAUUGCUCCAAAAACAGUUACAACAACUCCAUCUGUUGUAGAAGAAAUAUCAACGCCCCCAGUAGUUCAACCAUUAGCUAUUGCGGCGCCAGGACCUCAAGUCUUUCCCCCUCCUGCUGAGACUCCUGUUGAUAUUGGAAUGAUAGUAUCUCAAAGAUUAUCUGCCAUGAGAAAGCUGCAAGAGAAUCCCAACGAUGUACAAGCUAUAAGUGAGAUGUACAGAGCUCAGAGAGAGGUAAAUUAUGCAAUCAUGGGCACAAAGCAAACGGCAGCCUGGACAAUUUACGGGCUCAACAGGAGCUCAAAUAUUGUCGCAGGCAGAAUUGUGUUCGGGUUACCAGGCAUGGGCCAAAAAGGAAAUUAGAGCAUUUAUAUGUCAGGUCUUCGUGGUCCAGAUCUGGUGAACUUGGGUCUCAAAUGGAUCAGUUACAAAAUGCUGCUCCUGUAUC